AAAAGGUAUAUAAGUAGGAGACGAAGUAGGAGACGAAGUGGGUGAAGAAGGAGAAGAAGAAAAAAUACGAAUACGAAUACGAAAACGACAACAACAACAACAACAACGACAACAACAACGACGCUGGAACAGGACCACCCCUCCAUCUUUCUGUAUUGGACAACAGACACAUGAAUUGACAAAGCUCAUCAUUCUGAUCACCGCAUGGUCACGGUCUGUGGUGUGGUGAAGUAAAGACAUGACCUCCAUACAUCUCCUGUUUGCUGGUCAUCUAUGGAACCAAAUGUUCUUGAUGAUGUGGGGCCUCUCGUUAGCUCCACUCUGUUAUGGGAUGUAGAUUCAGCUUUGGACUGAAGUCUUCACACGCCACUCAAAAAAGCCUUUGUUGCUCUGAAGGUCAUAGAAAUGUUCCUAAAAAUAAGAGUGUACUUGUUUGGAAUAAAGUUUUUUGAUUGACCUAAUAAAUGUAUGC